GGCGUGAGCAGCAUUGUCUAUCAUCGUUUUGCUGUCAGUCAGUAGCUUUACAAAGACAGUCGCAGGAGACUUUGUUUCUUGAAUUUAACAGGGGAAACAACUGAACUUUAAAAACUAACAUAAGAUUUUUGUUUCGCGAAAUUAAAAAAAAAAUUUUCAUGUGCUUAGUGGGAAAUAGAAAAGUUUGAAAUUCGACAAUUUCUCAUAUAAAAAAUUGUAGCGCUGACCGUUAUCUUUGAGUUUUUGUUGUUUCCAACCCUCGAAUUGAGUCCAAAACGUCAUGUACACGCUCACAAUAUGUUUCAUUUUCUUAGCAUGUGUUCUAUUUGAUGUACAUUCAUUCCACGAGUCCGAAGGCAAGGUAGAUAAAUCCAAAUUGCAACUUGUGUUGGAGCAUUUGUCAACCGUCUACCUCCCAUAUGACGUGACCACCAGCGAGCCGCUCUACAAGCUCAAGUCUGCAAGUGUUGAGCAGAUGGCGAUACACGAAGAAGACAAGACUAUGUAUGUCGUCGGAAAAGGUCUUUUUCAUGUGGUCAACAUCAGUGAUCCUACUAAUCUUGUCUAUAUUACAACAGUACCAGUACUGGACAGUGAUCUCACAGACGUGGAGGUCUGUGGAAACUACAUCUUUAUUACGUCCGACAACAUGAAGGAUAAAGCUAAUGGUCAACUCCUUAUUUACAGCAGAUAUACAACUACUCCUGGUUUCUCUUUACGACAGAUAAACGCUAUCACUGUUGGCGCCCAACCUGACAUGCUGCAGUUAACCAAGGAUUGCCAAACGGCUGUAAUUGCAGUUGAAGGCGAGCCUGUUGAGACCGGUGAGGAUUUUACUGAUUAUCCUGGUGCCAUUGCAAUUGUCAGGUUUGAGGGAGGCAGACCAGCCGACUCGAUACCACCAGAGGUUAAAAUUUUGGACUUCAAAAAAUUUGAGACAAGUUACGACGACUUACUGGCCCGAAAUGUGAAAAUGUCGUACAGCAGGACAAGAAAAGGAUUCAGCGAUGAGUUCGAACCAGAAUACAUAACUAUAGAUGAGGAAAGCAGAAAAGCUUAUGUGGUCUUGCAGGAGAACAACGCAGUGGUUGAGGUGGAUUUGAACACAUACGAGAUUACGCAAAUCUACGGCCUAGGCUACAAGCAGUGGGGACACCUGGACGCUAGUAAAUCCGAUGGAGGAAUCAGCAUCAGCUAUUGGCCGAUCCGGUCUUUUUACCAGCCGGACGCCAUCAAGUUUUACGUUUGGCAACAACGCAAACUGGCUUUCACUGCGAAUGAGGGUGAAUACAGAGUCUACCCAAACGAUGGAUUUGACGAGAGGCGAAUAGGAGUGUCAUUUAAAGGUUCUAAGUUCGGACCGAAUGUUCCCUUGUUUGUGGUGGACGCACUGAAUGAUUCCAGAAAACUAGGAGACUUGACUUUUUCUAAAGGGGACGGCUUCAUUGACGGAACUUAUGAGGCUCUCUACAUGUUUGGAGGACGCAGUUUCAGCAUCUGGGAUACGGAGAACAAUUUCGAGCUGUUGUAUGACAGUGGCAGUGACUUCGAAGAGAAGAUAGCAGUAUACUGUCCGCAUGUGUUCAACUCUAACGGUGAUGUCAUCGACACUGUGUCAGACCAGAUGGGUGUCCAGCCAGAGGGCCUAGCCACACUAGAGAUGGACUCUCGCCUCUUUAUCUUCAUCACCAUCGAGAACCCUGGCAUGCUGCUCGUGUACAGCUUGGACGCUGACGUCACAAGUCCGAGAUUCGAGACCAUCUUCUGCGAUGGAAUACCAAAAGAUUCACGAUCUUUGACCGCCAAGUAUAUGGCUCGGGAACUGUAUAUGGUCCACCCUGAGGAUAUUAGGAUCUUAGGUGAAGGCAACACCAUUUCAAAGUCGCCGCUUGUUUUCGUCACUGGCUCUGUCUCCGGCACCGUCUCAGUCCUCAAAGUUGGCUUAGUUGAAAAUGCUAUAAAAUUUGAUGAGAGCAGAAAUCAUUCAUCUGGUGAUACUAAUCAGACAGUUUCUUAACAUUCGCGGACCAUUGGUUGGCAUCAAGGACGAAACAGCGAAGUAGACUAAUCAAUGGGAUAAAUUAUAGUCAAGAACAUCUUAAAAUCGUUGUCCUCAAACAUAGUAGGAUGUACGAGGUACAGCUUUUUCGUCACUUUCCCUCAGUUUAGCCAUUUGGUGCAAGGUUAUAUUUUGUUGGCUGUUCUAAUGCUUGAUAAUUGUUAUAACUUUGCAACUCAUUUUGUUUUGUCUGUCUGGAGGUCUUCAGGGGUCUAAUGUCAAAUGCUUAAAGUGAACCAGUGUGCCGCUGUUUAUAUUGGCAGCGUAAGAGUUUGUUGUCUGAGUGAAAAAGUUGUUAAUACUUUUUUUUAUAUAUUUAUGCAUAAAAAAUAAAAUCCAACUUUAAAUUUGAGAUGAUUUCAUAUUCUGUACAUGACUCAUCAAUGUAAUACUUCACAAUAUUCAUCACAUACAGUUUAUUUUAUGUGCCUCCUAAUUGUAUAUUUCAUAAAUGCUUAAAUGUGAAAUCUAUAAAUAAAUGGUUCUUGCAGUCGAUAAACUUCACAAGUGUAUGCAUGAAAUUCAUAGCUUAAUUAUAAUUUUUAAAUGCUUUGUAAUGCACUUUCAUAAUUAUAUAUAGGCAUGUGCGUAUGUCUUUUCUUUGCUGGUUAUUAUGUAUGUAUAUUUGUAUGAAUCCAUAUAGUGUAGAGUAUUAAAUUGAACUAAUACUAGAUCUAUGUACUACAAAUAGGUUUGUACUUAUUACAAAGCUUACAUUAACUCACUA